UCUCCCUCCCUUUCUCACUCCCUAACAUCGAGAGCAACAGAAAGACUCUACGAAUAUAUAGAUUAAAGCCCUUUAAGGUAUGUUUCUCCUUUCUAUCUCUCUUUCCUCUCUGUCUCUUUUUUUUUUGAAAAAUUCAUGAAAAAUAAAAAAUAAGGGGAAACCAUGUCAAAAUUUUUUUGUUUGACAUGAUUUUAAUAUAUGUCAUAGAUCUAUAGGAUGAUCUACACAAUGACACUAAAAUCAUUAAUUUUCGUUAAGUAUAUAAUUUUUUAAAUUAAAAAUAUAUCUUUAAAAUAAAAAAAUUUUAAAAAAUAACUGUUAAAUCAGAUUAUUGUUUAGGGAC
rnacentral:lncRNA from 1 species